rnacentral:rRNA from 1 species
ACGUAGGGUGCGAGCGUUAAUCGGAAUUACUGGGCGUAAAGCGUGCGCAGGCGGCUGUGCAAGACAGGUGUGAAAUCCCCGGGCUUAACCUGGGAACUGCACUUGUGACUGCAUGGCUAGAGUGCGUCAGAGGGAGAUGGAAUUCCGCGUGUAGCAGUGAAAUGCGUAGAUAUGCGGAGGAACACCAGUGGCGAAGGCGAUUCCCUGGAUCGGUUCUGACGCUCAGGCGCGAAAGCGAGGGUAGCAAACGG